UCCAGAGGUCUCAAGCGUUGUUCGGAAUCACUGGGCGUAAAGGGUGCGUAGGCUGCGGAGAAAGUCUGGUGUGAAAUUUGCGAGCUCAACUCGCAACUAGCACCUGAUACUACUUUGCUAGAGAUCUGGAGAGGAGCUUGGAAUUCUCGGUGUAGCAGUGAAAUGCGUAGAUUUCGAGAAGAACGCUCGCUGCGAAAGCGAAGCUCUGGCCAGAUUCUGACGCUGAGGCACGAAGGCUAGGGGAGCAAACGGG
rnacentral:rRNA from 1 species